GAUGUAAAAAGAGAUAAUACUUUUAAAAGUAUUUCAGCACACCUCUCUCUCUCUAUAUAUAUAUAUAUAUAAAGUUUGAUUAGAAUACUAUCUAUAGUAAACAGAGUCCCUUGCUACGGUUUUGUUUAGAUUACUCGAAGUGUGUAAGAUGCCAAACUUCUGUAGUUAUAAAGUUGCGGUGGAAUGUAAUAUACCAGAUUUUAAUAUAAAAGUGAAAAUAAAUAAAAAUAGCAUGAGAUACUAUUUUUAUUGGAUUUAGAGAAGUGAAAUAUAAGUUGGAAAUGAUCUGUGCUAAAAUCGGAACGAAAACAGAAGAUUUAGAAUUUUCUGUGAGAAACGGGACAGAUAAAUUAGCAGAAAAUGCACAGUGUCAGAAAAUUAUGAAAACUGGAGAAUAUGUGAGAAUUAUUUUUAUGAGGCUAGAUUUAAAGUUUCAUGCCAUUCUAACACCCGGAAAGUAAAAAAUAAAAUCCGACUGCUAUCUGCUAGAGAUUACAGUUCGGUAGAGCUUUCGGUGACCAAACGGGGUCGAAACUGAAAGAUUAAAAAUUCUUUCGUUAAGUUAAGUAAAAUCGAGCAUGACUGUUAAAUUUGAGCUCAAACGGACAUCCAGAAGGGCUCCGACUGUUCCGAACUGCUAAACUGCAAGUUGUAAUUGGUGUGAAAGGGAAUUUUGUGCAAUUGUUACAGCCCCUACUAUGUGGCUGGCAGCAUGCGCACCCCCACACACACGCACACAUUCUCUCCUCUCCCUCACACUUGCAACGAAAGAAGAAAAACCUUCUCUUUUCUUUCUUGAACGUGGAAUCAAGAAAAGGAUUUGGUGGAGAAGAAAGCUUGGAAGUUGAUCUUCAUCUCCUUCAUCUUCUUCCUCUCCAUUGGAGCUUGCUUGAGAGGUAAGCUUUGAUAGCAACAAUGGUAGAUCUUUAGGGCUUCAUUUAUAUACUCUAAAAAUGGAUUUGUUGGAAUCCUAGCAUGCUAAAUAGAGGGAAAAUGCUUGAUUCAUGAAUCAAUUUGAAGUAUCUUGUAAUAGUAAACACCUAGGGCUUAAAAAUGGUAUUUUUACUAGUAGAUGGGUUUGAUCUAAAUUGAACCUAUAUAAACCUAAUUGCCAGGUAUAUGAACUCGUUGGCGAAGUCGGUUCGGCGAUUCGUCGAGCCGGUGCGAAGAUAUUGAAGAAACGACGUUUUUGGCUUCGCUUCCGCCUUGAGGGCGGAAGCGACGACUAAAAAUCAUGGAAACGGAUUUGGAGCACCGUGACACAUAACCGAAGACCUAUAAUUUUCGGGGCUGCUAAGGGGCGCGCAGUUGGUGCACAAUUGUGAGAUCGGGCCAAAUCGGAUAGCGGGUAACACGGGCAACCGAUUGCAAGUGUCGACAAGCAAUCGGAGAGCAAAUCAAGAUGGAUUGUGCUUACCGAAGCAACUAUGUCGCAUGCAUGUCAAAGUAGACUAUGAGUUCUCGUUGAUGCAUAUGUGUGGGUACAAUGGCAUUGUGAUUAUGCUAGAUGGAAUUAUAUGCAUGUAAACCUAAUUACUUGGUGUAGAUCUAUGCAUGUGAAUUUAGAUGCUAGAUGGAAAAUAUAUAUGCAUGAUAGCAUCAUGUGAAUCAUAAUAGAUGAUAGUGGAUUAUGCUAGUUGGUAGUUGCAUAUUGAUGCAUUGAUAUAUGCUAGUGAUAGAUUCAUGUUGACAUGUACUGGAGCGUAUAAUUAGAAUGUAUGCUAGUGGAUAAUAUGCAUAUUGGGAUGAAUGCUAGGUGUAUUUAGUUUUAUGAGAUCAUGUUAGAGAACAUGCAUUUUAACGUAUUGUUGAUAGUUGCAUAUAAACAUUAUGUAUACUAGUUGAUAGUGACAUGUUGAUGCAUUAGAAAUGCAUGUUAGUUGAUAAUGGCAAUUUGCUAUGUUAAAAUAUAUGCUAAAUGAUAAUUGCAUAUUGACAUGUUAAAAUGUACGCUAAAAGAAUGCAUUGGGACAUGAGGUAGAAGAGCAAAGUGAAAUGCAUGAUAACCUUUUGUGGAAUAUAUGCUAGGUAUGGGUUAGCAUUGUAAGAUCGUGUUAGAAAGCAUGCAUAAUAACAUAUUAUCGAUUAUGUUAGAUAAGAUGCAUGUUGGCAUCGUAAGCACGAGAUAGAGAACAUGUAAUUAUAGAAACUCGAUAUGGACAAUUAGGUGUCGGAUAGAUUGAGUGGCAUCGAACCUAAUGUUAUUAACAUAGGUCGGAUAUGAACCUAGUGUCGUGAACCUAGGUUAAACAAGAAUGGCAUUGAACCUAAUGUUAGAGAAUAUAGGUUGAGAUUUGUCACGCCCCGGGACCGGCAGAGGCCCUCCCAGUAGCGCGCCCAGACCCGCCAUAUGUCUACACAUAUAAGGCGUCUACAAUAACAGCGGAAAUAAAAUAAGAGAUGAUCUACAACUAGAGAUAUCAGAGCAAGUACACAUAUAUACUCUAUGAUAAGAGAAGUAGGAACAAAACUAAAUAAUAAAGAGGAAACAUAAAGUCGUAUAAUAUCCAUCUCAAAAGUACACAAAACAGGUGGUCUCUAAUACACUGGUACAACUCUCAACCUCUCUAAAAAAAGAAAACAACGAGAGGUAGACCUAUCAACACGUCCCUCGAAGUGAGCUAGCUCGAGGCGAUAUCCUUUUCGCGGUCCCUAGCCUCUCCCGGUGUGAGAGGCUCUGAAACAACAUCAAGAAAAAGAGGGCGUGAGAACUAUAAUUUAUAGUUCCCAGUGGGUAAUUACUGACCUCAGCUCAAUGUACCACUAGGCCCCAAAAGAAAAGGGUAAGUACGAUAAGCAACAAUAAUGAUAAUAAACAGUAAAUAUAAGAGCAAGUAUUGUUUGCUAAAUUUACUAUACCAAAAAUCAUAAGAUGUCAAUGUAUUGAACAUGUAUUCUAUCAAGAUGUGGUAUACCCAAUGCAUGACUACUAUUUCCAAACGUGGCAAGCAAGUAGAUAACAUGAUCCGUUCUAACAAUAAAUGAUGAUUAUACUUUUUCAUGGCAACCAAGUAUACUAUGAUGCAACAGGUAAUUUAUUAAGUAUACAACAUGUCCCAACACUAUGCUAUAAGCAUGUCAAAGUAAUCCGACUACUAAUCCUAUCUAGUAGUGAUUGUCAUCUCCCGAUUAAGUGUUCUUGUUUCCAACAUGUUCUAGGACCUACAUGGUGUAGUCCAGCUUGUGCCACCUAAGUGUCGGUGGUAGCUCUAGCAUUCCCACUCUAGGAAUGAGUCUAUCCCUCCCGACCCUGUAGGUUUCUCGAUACCGCACGAGCGAGCAUAAGUCGCGUAGGCCAACUCCGGAGUGCCGGCUUGUAGGGACCGACCCUCACAAGCAUGUGCGAAUGAGCACAAAUGGCAAGCAAGCGUAGUCAACGUCUCGAAUACCCAAUCAUCAUGUCUCUAACAUGGUAAAAGUCACUAGCAUCUCAAAGAUCUGGUUCAAUGUCUCAAAGUGAUGCUCCAACACUCACUGUACUUAGUGCCUCUUUAUGACACUUAAGCUUGUUAUAAGGUAACACGUUUCAUAAUCUAUGUUCCAUUCAUGACAUUAGUACUAGGUUCUCAUUUAACCCGAGCUCAAUGAUCCUUUAUGACAUUAGCCUAAUUAUUUACAAGUAGUACAAGUCCCCGAGCCUCUUUAUGGCUUACUAAGAUCCUUUAAGUCUCAAGUAAGAAUAGCUUUAAAUGCAUGCAAGUAAUGCUCAUUUUCACAAUAGGAAUUAUGAUUUCAAGUUUCAAUAGGAUGCUAAUCGUGUACAAGUUCCGCAUGCUAGUUCUCCACUACAUAGAGGUCCGAAAAUUCAUCACACAUAUCUUAGACAUGUUAGGCAUCCUAAAAUUCACAAUAAUUACAUUUAUCAUGGAAAUAUAUGAAUUUCUACUUUACGAAGCAUAAAACAUAAGAUAUGAGAAUUUCUCAUAUGCUAGGCUAGGUCAAACCCACCGAACCGUCUCGAAACACUUCGUUUCGCCGAACGGAGUUGUCCACAAAUCUUUAAGUACCCUAAAGGUAAGGAGCGAAGAGAUAAACAAACGUUACGAACAACUCUAGGUUCAAACAUUAACUAUCACAAGCAAAGGGGCAAAAACUCACCUAGGGAGUAGAAAAUCUCUCUCAAGCUCCAAAAGAGAGCUAGAUCCCUUCCAAUCCGAUCUAAUGGAAGAUUCUAAUCAAUCAAUUUAGCUCAAAAGGCCCUAGAAUCAAAAUGCCCAAAAUCAACCCUAAAAUCACAUUUUAGGGUUUCAUCUCAAAGAAACCUUCAAAAACCAAAUCUAGAGGAAAAGAUCAUGCUACUAACCUUUUAGAGGCUUCAAUCCAAGCUCAAAGUCCUCAAACUUCAAGGAUCUUCCCCCAACCAAGCAUCAAACCCAAGCUCAAAUGGUGGGAAAAGCCUCCAACAACCAAAAAGAAGCAAAAAGAGACAUUUAAUCUCAUAAAACCCAAACAAAAUCAAAAAAAUCACAAAGGGCGGUGAGAGGAGAGCUCCCUACCUUGCUUUCCUCUGGUUCUCAGCUCAGGAGAAGCCCUAGGGGGCGUGGGGACACAUAUAGAAGGACACAAUUGCAAAAACAUCCCUACAGUUCAAACUGCUCAAAAUCUGCCAAAAUGUACCGGUACAUGGGAAAGUGUACCGGUACAAAUUCCACGAAAAUGCAAACCCGAGGCUCGGGUUUGAAAUUCGGCACAAGUGUACCGGUACAACCAUCAAUGUGUACCGGUACAAAAAGUGUACCGGUAUAGCCAUCGACCUGUCACCGGUUCCACCAUGUGCAGAGUGCAAUCCGAGGGCAGCCUAAGUCCAUCCCUUUGGUGACCUUAGUGCAACAUAAAAUACUAUAUUCCUCGGGAUGCGAGCCAUGGGUCGGACCACUGUCCACGACCCUCCAGAAAAUCUGGAAAAACUCAAAACGGAGUUCAAACUCUCGAACCUCGCAAUUUGCAAAGGUCCAGUGUGUUACAAGAUUGAACCUAGAGUUAAGUCAACCUAGGUUGUGAGUUAAAGAUAAUGAACCUAGUGUUAUGGAGCAUAAGUUGAAAUGAACCUAGAGUCAAUUAGAUCUAGGUGAGUGGCAGGUGAAAUACAAGUGUAGUACAAACACUAUGAUGUUGAACAUAGGGAUAGAGGAUUUUCCGUGUUGUUAAGAGUGGCAUAUCAGAACCUCAAUGUAUAUGUAACACUAGAGUGAUGAGUAUAGUAGUUCUUUGAUUCCACGAUGAUGUUAACCCUAACUGAUAGGGUAUCCUCAGCUGACGAGGAUUGGAUCGACUAACAUAGCCUGUCUGCGCUUGUAGUGGUCGCUUCACACAAGCUGUGCACUCCGGAGUAUUGGACACUUGAGGGGCAGUCGAGAGAGCUGCCCGGACAGUCAGUGAGCUGUCCGCAGGCGGUCUCGGGGGUAGUUCAGUGAGACUUCUUGUCGCGCCCCGAGACCCGCUACCAAUUUGGUCCGGUUCGGGCACGUCAAACAGACGCCGAACGGACAGAACCUCCCAUGUCCGACCAAGGCUCAACGAUAAAAUCAUGUACAACAAGUUCCCAGGAAUAUAUUUGAAUACAUACAUGAUCACAACAGCGAGAGCACAACCAGUGCUAAACAAAUGAGAGCAAGCAUCACAAGUAGAGAACAUACAAGUGAAUAAAAGAGAGAGAGACCAAGCUAUUACAUUCAUUUAACCACUUUAGAACAUUUGAUUACAUUUAAUCUUCCAAAACAUGUGUACAACUCAUCCAUCACAUAUAUAAACAUACAUGGAUACAUCUCUCAAGCACCUCACCACCUAUACAUCAACUACUCUCAUAUGUACAUGGGUGUCACUAGUGCAAUAGGAAGCCACUACCAACACUAGGGCGUUAGGCCCUUACCGCGAUCCUCAAUCGGAGUGCUCGAGCUCAGUCCUGCAACAAAAUGGGGUGAGAACUAUGAAUAGUUCCCAGUGGGUUCGGCCGUUGACUCCGUCGAUCUCCCCACUAGGUCUAAGCAGACAUAAGCAGAUAGAUAGAUAGAUAGAUAGAUAUUUAACUGAAAUGAAAGUAUAGUAAAGAAACUAUAGUAUACUACUAUGCCUGGCAAGUAUGCAAUGAACAAUCGAAGCAAGUAUCACUAAGAUCAUGCUACAAGCAAGUAUGUAACCUACUAUGCUCAAUAUGUCCAAUGUCCAACAUGUCCAUUAUCCAAUCCUUGGCCAACCAAGAGUUAGCCCUCGACUCACAUCUCAAUCCCACCUAGGUGAGAACCUCGUUGUCAACCCACCUGGGACCGUCUGCGGACAACUACGUCUGUCCUGAACGUGACCAACUCCGGAGCGCACUAACAGAGGGAGCAACCACCCCAAGCACAGACUAUGUGAGUAUAAUCCAUCCUCGCCAUUGAGGAAGCCCUAUCCUCUAGGGUCAUCAAUCUCUGUGGAAUACGCUAGUUUGUAUCCAUGUCCAAAGCCUCAAUGCUAGCAACUGUGUCAAUGACGCACAAGUUCUCAUGUAAGAUGUCCAACUAGGGAAAACUCAUCUAGUUCCUACAUCAUCAUAUCAUAGUGUUCUUUACACUAAGUUCUAAUGCCACUCGUCAAGUGUUUUCUAUGUUCCAUGCCACUCGCCAUAAUACAAGUCCCAACAUUACACAUCUCAUUAACUUUCAUAAUCAUAAGAUCAAGUUACUACUUAUCUUUAUCACUAUAGGGUUCUCAGUCAUUAUACUCAUUCUUAUGCCUUCUAGGUUCAAGUGCCAAUCAGAUUGCUACACUACCAAGAAGCAUGCUAGGAUAAAACAUAACCAUCGAUACCCUAUAAUGCAAAAUACUACAUGUGCAAUAUGAUCAACAAAAUACAACUUAGACAUAGGGAGCAACUCAACUGCUUCAGGAUGGACACCACCCACCAUGUGGCGACGUCGCGAUGCUGGGAAUACAAUUCGCCGAUUUUACGACUCCUCGUUGGACUUCUAGGUGGAAACGAAGCUCCGAGGGUCUCUUUUGGUGAUAACUUCACACCCGCUCGACGAAUCCUCGAACCGUCUUCGCCUACGCGUUUAGAUACCUAGCAAUUAGGUUUACGACCAAUGAAUUGAGAUCAAAACCCAUUAUUUCUCAAAUACCCAUUUUGGUGCCCUAGGUUUCAACAACAGAAAAAUACUCCGAUAAAACCCUAGAUUCUUGCCAUUAGUACAUCACUAGCAUCAUAGGGUUUAAUCAAAACCAAUCUUAGAGUAUUCCGUCAAAAUCCUAGGAAGAUACCAUUAAAAGGGUUCGAAGCUCACCUCCAAAAGCCUUUCCACACUUGAGGAAGAAGAUGAAGAGGGUGAUCCUCCUCUUCUUUGCCAUCUUCUCUUUCUUCUCCAUCUUCUUCUUUCUCCUUCCUUGAGAUAGAGAGAGAGAGAGAGCAAGAGUUUAUUGAGGGAGAGAGAAAUGUUUAGGGCUCUCUUGGGGAUAAAUGAGAAGAGAGAGAGAGCAAGAGCCUCUUAUAUAGCUAUACUCAUGCAAAACUGUAUUUUAGCCCCUCAACUUUGCCAUCUUGCAUCAGCCCAUUUUGGGCAAUUUCGGGGUACGGGGUCCGGACCCUCCAGCUAGGGUCCGGACCCCGAGAGUUGGGACACCAUGAGAAUUGCACACUUUGCAAUUUUCAAAGUUUUCACAGCUACGGGGUCCGGACCCUACCAUCAGGGUCCGGACCCUGAGAGUUGCCUAAGUGUGCAAGUUGCACACAUGAAAUUUCCAAGUACUUGGGGGCUUUCUCGCAGCUACGGGGUCCGGACCUACCACCACGGUCCGGACCUCGAGAGUGAUGAAAUGGUGCAAACUUGCAAACUUGGAAUCCUCAACUCUCCAAGGUCCACCCUAAUGUGCUUUUCGCAAUUCCAUCGCAUUUGGACUUUCCGAAGCAUACCAAGUCGACGAUAAGUCGAUUCCAAAUGAAGUCUAACUAUCGAAUUGCGAGAAUUCACUUCCUUACAUCCUCCCCACCUUAAAAGAGUUUCGUCCUCGAAACGAACUCAAUUUAAUUCAAACUCAAUUCUAAAUCCAUACCUCAUUUCAAUCCUCAAACAAGUGAGGAUGAUUCGCCUUUAUUUCAUCCUCGAGCUCCCAGGUGGCUUCGCGGUCAUCGUGAUUGCUCCACCUGACCUUGACGUAAGAAAUUUCUCGAUUCCUCAACUUACGCACCUCUCGAGCGAUAAUCGCCACCGGAAACUCUUCAUACCUCAAGUCCUCUUGAAGUUCCGGCGGAUCAUAUAACAUCGCGUGCUCGGGAUCAUAUACGUACUUGCGAAGAUUGGAGACGUGGAAUACGUUAUGCACAUCGGCAAGCUUCGGUGGCAAUGCUAGCCGAUAAGCCACUGUCCCAAUCCGCUCCAAGAUCUCAUAAGGACCAAUAAACCGGGGACUUAGCUUUCCCCGCACUCCAAAUCGCUUAACGCCUCUCAUGGGCGAAACCUUCAAGAAAACGCGGUCGCCCACCGCGAACUCUAAGUCCCGCCUAUGCUUAUCCGCGUAGCUCACCUGUCGAGACUGUGCCGUAAGUAGCCUUUUGCGAGCAAGACGGACUUUCUCUUCCGCCUCCCACAAUACUUCGGGGCCAAAUUCCGCAUGCUCGCCCACAUCACUCCAAUAAAUGGGAGAUCGGCACUUCCGCCCAUAAAGAGCCUCGAACAGUGCCAUCUCCACACUAGCAUAAUAACUGUUGUUGUAGGCGAACUCGGCCAUCGGCAGAUGCUUACACCAACCUCCCUUGUAAUCUAUGACACACGCUCGGAACAUAUCCUCCAGAGUCUGAAUGGUCCUCUCGGUUUGCCCAUUUGACUGGGGAUGAAACGCUGUGCUGAAGUUGAGUCGUGUGCCAAGAACUUCCUGCAGGCUCUUCCAGAAGUGCGAAGUAAACUUGGGGUCUCGAUCCGACACAAUGGACUUUGGCACUCCAUGCAACCUCACUAUCUCGUCGAGGUAAACCUGCGCUACUUUAUCACCCGACCAAGUAGUGUGGACCGGCAAAAAGUGUGCCGACUUCGUCAAGCGAUCCACAAUUACCCAAAUUGCGUCGUGGCCUCCUGUCAAGCGAGGCAAGCCGACGACGAAAUCCAUUGAUAUGUCCUCCCAUUUCCAAACGGGAAUAGGUAGGCUUUGAAGCUUUCCCGCUAGAAAUCGACGCUCUGCCUUUACCACCGGUUUCGAAACCGAAGUGCACCGUCGGCGUCUACACUGAAAUCGCCGCCAUGGCCCUCCUCGACGCUGCGCCGCACCUUUUGGAGAUUCGGGUCCGCAGAUUGCAGACUCUUAAUCCUCUCUAAUAAGGUCGGUUGAACCACCAGCACCAUCAAUUUAGUCGGAAUCUCCGGAGUCACAACCUCGAGAUCCAUUCGCUCCAUGUCCAACCAUAGGGGCGAUUGAUUUGUAACCCACACAGCGAGGUUCUCCGCCGACUUCCUAUUAAGCGUAUCCGCGACUACAUUCGCUUUGCCGGGGUGGUAUAGGAUGUCAACAUCGUAGUCCUUUAACAGCUCCAACCACCGCCGCUGUCGUAUUUUAAGCUCCUUCUAGGUAAACAAAUAUUUCAAACUUUUAUGGUCGGUGUAGAUCUCGCAGUGUGCACCAUACAGAUAGUGCCUCCACAGCUUCAGAGUAAAGAUCACCGCCACCAAUUCCAAGUCAUGAAUGGGGUAGUUCUUCUCAUAGCCCUUCAACUGACGGGACGCGUAAGCGAUCACCUUCCCGCCUUGCAUUAGGACACAACCCAAACCCAGAUAGGAUGCAUCACUAUAAACCGCAUAAUCCUCGCCCUGCACUAGUAAGGCGAGCACCGGAGCCGAAGUUAAUCUGUCUUUCAACUCGUUGAAAAUCCGGUCGCAUUCGUCACUCCAAAUAAACUUAACGCCCUUCUGCGUCAGACGGGUAAGUGGGGUCAUGAUCUUCUAGAAGCCCUCCACAAACCGUCGAUAGUAGCCUGCUUGGCCCACAAAGUUUCGGACCUCGGUGACAUUUGUUGGGCGCGGCCAGUCCUUGACUGCCUCGACUUUCUUCGGGUCAACAGAAACAUCGCCCUCGAAAAUCACGUGCCCAAGAAAAGCCACCUCAUGGAGCCAGAAGUCACACUUCUUCAACUUUGCGUAUAGCUUCUCCUCCCGAAGGAUUUGAAGCACAAUACGCAAAUGCUCCGCGUGCUCCUCAUCGCUCCGCGAAUAGACCAAGAUGUCGUCAAUGAAGACCACGACAAAUCGGUCUAAACACGUCCUGAACACCCGGUUCAUCAGAUCCACGAACGCAGCCGGGGCUUUUGUAAGCCCGAAUGGCAUUACUGUGAACUCGUAGUACCCAUACCGCAUGCGGAACGCGGUCUUCUGUACAUCCUCCGGCUUAAUCUUCAAUUGGUGGUAGCCGGAUUGGAGAUUUAUUUUUGAGUACACGCACGACCCCUGUAACUGAUCAAAUAGUCAUCGAUUCGGGGCAACAGGUACUUGUUCUUUAUAGUGACCUUGUUCAACUCGCGGUAGUCCACGCAGAGUGGAAAAGAUCUGUCCUUCUUGCGCACGAACAAUGCCGGGGCUCCCCACGGUGAUAUACUCGGCCUUAUGAACUCCUUGUCGAGAAGAUCCUAUAACUGAUCCCUCAACUCCCUUAGCUCUGCUAGCGCCAUGUGGUACGGAGCCUUCGAGAUCGGCGCGGUCCCGGGAACCAAGUCUAUCAUGAACUCGAUCUUCCUAUCUGGCGGCAUUCCCGGUAACUCCGCAAGAAAUACAUCUAGAAAUUCCCGCACAACUGACAACUCCUCCAAAGUCGGGGCAGUUCGGUUCACCUCUACAACAGUCGCCAAAAAUGCCGCGCAACCGCUGUUGACCAACUUCCUAGCCCUCGUCGCCGAUACCGUCGCGGCGAAACACGAGCUUUGACAGGCCCGAUAAACAAAUUCCUUCUGUCCGGGCUCUCGGAAGAUGAUCAAUCUACUCUUACAAUCAAUCGUUGCAUAAUACUUCGAAAGCCAGUCCAUGCCCAAAAUGACAUCGAACGCCUCCAGUUUUUUGAGUUCCAGCAUCCGGAUAGGCAUUAUCCAGUCACCUAUUUGUACCGGACACGACGAACACUCUGUGAAAGUGUUAAAUGUCGACCCAAGGCCCUCAACUCGCCACUUGUCACUCGCUUCUAUGAGUAUGCCAUGCAUGCGUGCGAAUGAUCUACUAAUGAAUGAAUGUGUGGCACCUGUAUCAAACAUAGCCCUGGAACGAACUCCGUUAAUCAAAACCAUACCUGCUACAAGGCGAUGCACCUCCGCCUGAGCAGGCUCCUCAGCUUGAACUUGAGUGGCGAACACCCGUCCGCUCGGAGCUGACCUCGUCAUCUCGGGUGGACGUGGCGCCAAAGCACGUCCAACAAUCGCGACCGUAGGCAGAGCUCCUCCAUAAUGCGCUGGGGUCGCCGGAGCAGAUGCAACCGAUAAAGCUGGUGGGGCCCUCGUCGGGCAAUUGUGGCAGAUAUGCCCAUCUUGGCCGCAAGUGUAACAUUUUCCCUGCCGCUGCCUACAUUGCGACGCUCUUGGCCCCCACCGCAAAUAACGCAUCUCUGCGCCGUACGAUCCCCCGUCUGGGUCCGAGGGUACUUCGGAGGCUUCUUAGAGCUUGUUUGUCCUCCCGAGCCACCGCCCUGUCACUUCUUCCCCUUCUCUUUGUCAAAUAUCUCGUGCUCCUCUCGCUCACAAGCGUUCCCGUGCUCAACCCACAAAGCACGAUCCAACACCUCCGCAAAGGUAUGGAACUUGAAAGCAUGAACUAGUCGGAACACCCAGGGCCGGAGUCCCCUCACGAAGCAAUCCGCCCGAUCUUGCUCCGUCCUCGCCACAUCCGAGACGCAGUUCAGGAGAUGGGUGAACUCCCGCUCAUACUCCCGAACCGUGCGAUUACCCUGCUUGAGCUUUCUGAAGUCCUCUCUUAUCUUCCUUUUAUUACUGUCGGGGAAGUACUCCGCAAACAUCAACCUUCGGAACUCCUCCCAAUUAAUCGGGGGAAGAUCCGGAGAACGGUCCUGCUUCACAGUCUUCCACCACACCCUGGCCCGCUUAUCGAAGCAAUGCGCGGCCAAAUUCACCUUAUCCCGCUCCUUGGUGUAGAUGUCCUCGAACAGCGUCUCCAUCGAGGCUAACCAAGUCUCUACUGUCCAAGGAUCAAUCACUUCUCCAUCAAACGUGGGCGGGCGGAACUUCGUAAACCUGGUGAGAGCCGUGUAACCACGCUCUCGCUCCACCUCCUCAGCCGCCAUAUCGGGUGUAGGAGAACUCGACGCCGCAGGAGGGAUGUCCACCGGCGGGGGUCGCGUCGCCACCGGCGCCGCCGUAGCACUCUCACCGUCGGUCGCAUCAGGAGCGCAAGCCGAAGGCGCGGGCGGAUCGCGACCUUGACCUGCUGUAGCGGCUGCCGCCGCUGCUUGCUGCUCCAAUAGCUCCUGGAGCCGAUCGAACCGUCCAGUUAGUGCGGCAAUUUGUGCCCGCAACUCCUGCACCUCACCUGGUCAUGCUUGUUCUGGCACCACUGGAGGCGGUGCCGGAGCGGACCUUCGCACGUAGCGUCUCCUUGGUGCCAUUAGCCCCUGAAACGCAAACAUUUGGUUAAUUACUUAACCCGUUAACGCCGUCGCAAUUACGAAGCGAGAUGACUGGACAACAAAAUCGGGCGGAAGCAAGCAAGCGCACUUAUUCCGGGCUCUUAGCGUCAUGUCGUCGGCCGCCGACACAACCACUCUAAGCCAAGAACUAGUAACACUUGAAUCCGUGUCUAUUCACAACUAGAGACAUAAUAUCAACUUCGACCCAAUCGAUCCAACUUCCGCCACCGCUAUAGGUUCACGUCGCACUCACGCACCUAUAUCCUUAGGGUUUACCAACCUAGGGUCUCCUAGGUCAUCCUAGACUCUCUCUUUACUUGCUUUUAACUCGCUCUGGUACCACUUUAUCUAUCACGCCCCGAGACCCGCUACCAAGUUGGUCCGGUUCGGGCACGUCGAACAGAUGCCGAACGGACAGAACCUCCCCUGUCCGCCCAAGGCUCAACGACAAGAUCAUGUACAACAAGUUCCCAGGAAUAUACUUGAAUACAUACAUGAUCACAACAGCGAGAGCACAACCAGUGCUAAACAAAUGAGAGCAAGCAUCACAAGUAGAGAGCAUACAAGUGAAUAAAAGAGAGAGAGAGACUAAGCAAUUACAUUCAUUUAACCACUUUAGAACAUUUGAUUACAUUUAAUCUUCCAAAACAUGUGUACAACUCAUCCAUCACAUAUAUAAACAUACAUGGAUACAUCUCUCAAGCACCUCACCACCUAUACAUCAACUACUCUCAUAUGUACAUGGGUGUCACUAGUGCAAUAGGAAGCCAGUACCAACACUAGGGCGCUAGGCCCUUACCGCGAUCCUCAAUCGGAGUGCUCAAGCUCAGUCCUGCAACAAAGUGGGGUGAGAACUACGAAUAGUACCCAGUGGGUUCGGCCGCUGACUCCGCCGAUCACCCUACUAGGUCUAAGCAGGCAUAAGUAGAUAGAUAGAUAGAUAUUUAACUGAAAUGAAAGCAUAGUAAAGAAACUAUAGUAUACUACUAUGCCUGGCAAGUAUGCAGUGAACAAUCGAAGCAAAUAUCACUAAAAUCAUGCUACAAGUAAGUAUGUAACCUACUAUGGUCAAUAUGUCCAAUGUCCAACAUGUCCAUUAUCCAAUCCUUGGCCAACCAAGAGUUAGCCCUCGACUCAUAUCUCAAUCCUACCUAGGUGAGGACCUCGUUGUCAACCUACCCGGGACCGUCUGUGGAGAACUACGCCUGUCCUGAACGUGACCAACUCUGGAGCGCACUAACGGGGGGAGCGACCACCCCAAGCACAGACUAUGUGAGUAUAAUCCAUCCUCGCCAUCGAGGAAGCCCUAUCCUCUAGGGUCAUCAAACUCUCGGGAAUACGCUAGUUUGUAUCCAUGUCCAAAGCCUCAACGCUAGCAACUGUGUCAAUGACGCACAAGUUCUCAUGCAAGAUGUCCAACUAGGGAAAACUCAUCUAGUCCCUACAUCAUCAUAUCAUAGUGUUCUUUACAAUAAGUUCUAAUACCACUCGUCAAGUGUUUUCUAUGUUCCAUGCCACUCGUCAUAAUACAAGUCCCAACAUUACACAUGUCAUUAACUUUCAUAAUCAUAAGAUCAAGUUACUACUUAUCUUUAUCACUAUAGGGUUCUAAGUCAUUAUACUCAUUCUCAUGCCGUCUAGGCUCAAGUGCCAAUCAGAUUGCUACACUACCAAGAAGCAUGCUAGGAUAAAACAUAACCAUCGACACCCUAUAAUGCAAAAUACUACAUGUGCAAUAUGAUCAACAAAAUACAACUUAGACAUAAGGAGCAGCUCAACUGCUUCAGGAUGGACACCGCCCAUUUUGUGGCGACGUCGCGACGCUGGGAAUACAAUUUGCCGAUUUUACGACGCCUCGUUGGCCUUCUAGGCGGAAACGAAGCUCCGAGUGUCUCUUGUGAUGAUAACUUUGCACCCGCUCGACGAAUCCUCGAACCGUCUUCGCCUACGCGUUUAGAUACCUAGCAAUUAGGUUUACGACCAAUGAAUUGAGAUCAAAACCAUUAUUUCUUAAAUACCCAUUUUGGUGCCCUAGGUUUCAACAACGAAAAAAUACUCCGAUAAAACACUAGAUUCUUGCCAUUAGCACAUCACUAGCAUCAUAGGGUUUAAUCAAAACCAAUCUUAGAGUAUUCCGUCAAAAUCCUAGGAAGAUACCAUUAAAAGGGUUCGGAGCUCACCUCCAAAAGCCUUUCCACACUUGAGGAAGAAGAUAAAGAGGGUGAUCCUCCUCUUCUUUGCCAUCUUCUCUUUCUUCUCCAUCUUCUUCUUUCUCCUUCCUUGAGAUAGAGAGAGAGAGAGAGAGCAAGAGUUUAGAGAGGGAGAGAGAGAUGUUUAGGGCUCUCUUGGGGAUAAAUGAGAAGAGAGAGAGAGCAAGAGCCUCUCAUAUAGCUAUACUCAUGCAAAAUUGUAUUUUAGCUCCUCAACUUUGCCAUCUUGCAUCAGCCCAUUUUGGGCAAUUUCGGAGUAUGGGGUCCAGACCCUCCAGCUAGGGCCCGGACCCCGAGAGUUGGGACACCAUGAGAAUUGCACACUUUGCAAUUUUCAAAGUUUUCGCAGCUACGGGGUCCGGACCCUACCACCAGGGUCCGGACCCCGAGAGUUGCCCAAGUAUGCAAGUUGCACACAUGAAAUUUCCAAGCCCUUGGGGGCUUUCUUGCAGCUACGGGGUCCGGACCCUAUCACUAGGGUCCGGACCCCGAGAGUGAUGAAAUGGUGCAAACUUGCAAACUUGGAAUCCUCAACUCUCUAAGGUCCACCCUAAUGCGCUUUUCGCAUUUCCAUCGCAUUCGGACUUUCCGAAGCAUACCAAGUCGACGAUAAGUCGAUUUCAAAUAAAAUCUAACUCUCGAAUUGCGAGAAUUCACUUCCUUACAUCCUCCCCACCUUAAAAGAGUUUCGUCCUUGAAACGAACUUAAUUUAAUUCAAACUCAAUUCUAAAUCCAUACCUCAUUUCAAUCCUCAAACAAGUGAGGAUGAUUCGCCUUUAUUUCAUUCUCGAGCUCCCAGGUGGCUUCGCGGUCAUCGUGAUUGCUCCACCUGACCUUGACGUAAGGAAUUUCUUGAUUCCUCAACUUACGCACCUCUCGAGCGAUAAUCGCCACCGGAAACUCUUCAUAACUCAAGUCCUCUUGAAGUUUCGGCGGAUCAUAUAACAUUGCGUGCUCGGGAUAAUAUACGUACUUGCGAAGAUUGGAGUCGUGGAAUACGUUAUGUACUUCGGCAAGCUUCGGUGGCAAUGCUAGCCGAUAAGCCACCGUCCCAAUCCGCUCCAAGAUCUCAUAAUGACCAAUAAACCAGGGACUUAGCUUUCCCCACACUCCAAAUCGCUUAACACCUCUCAUAGGCAAAACCUUUAAGAAAACGCGGUCGCCUACCGCGAACUCUAAGUCCUGCCUGCGCUUAUCCGCGUAGCUCGUCUGUCGAGACUGUGCCGUAAGUAGCCUUUUGCGAGUAAGACGGACUUUCUCUUCCGCCUCCCGCAACACUUCGGGGCCAAAUUCCGCACGCUCGCCCACAUCACUCCGACAAAUGGGAGAUCGGUACUUCCGCCCAUAAAGAGCCUCGAACGGUGCCAUCUCCACACUAGCAUGAUAAUUGUUGUUGUAGGCGAACUCGGCCAUCGGCAGAUGCUUACACCAACCUCCCUUGUAAUCUAUGACACACGCUGGCAACAUAUCCUCCAGAGUCUGAAUGGUCCUCUUGGUUUGCCCAUCUGACUGGGGAUGAAACGCUGUGCUGAAAUCGAGUCGUGUGCCAAGAGCUUCCUGCAGGCUCUUGCAGAAGUGUGAAGUAAACUUGGGGUCUCGAUCCGACACAAUGGACUUCGGCAUUCCAUGCAACAUCAUUAUCUCUUCGAGGUAAACCUGCGCUAGUUUAUCACCUGCCCAAGUAGUGUGGACCGACAAAAAGUGUGCCAACUUCGUCAAGCGAUCCACAAUUACCCAAAUUGUGUCGUGGCCUCCCGUCGAGCGAGGCAAGCCGACGACGAAAUCCAUCGUUAUGUCCUCCCAUUUCCAAAUAGGAAUAGGCAGGCUUUGAAGCUUUCCCGCUGGAAAUCGACGCUCCUCUUUCACCUGCUGGCAGGUCAAACACCUCGCCACGAAGCACACAAUAUCAGUUUUCAUCUCCGGCCACCAGUAGAGCGAUUUCAACUCAUGAUACAUCUUNAGUAAACUUGGGGUCUCGAUCCGACACAAUGGACUUCGGCAUUCCAUGCAACAUCAUUAUCUCUUCGAGGUAAACCUGCGCUAGUUUAUCACCUGCCCAAGUAGUGUGGACCGACAAAAAGUGUGCCAACUUCGUCAAGCGAUCCACCACAACCCAUAUAGCAUCAUGUCCGGCCUGUGAUCGGGGUAAACCAACCAAAAAGUCCAUCGCUAUGUCCUCCCAUUUCCAAACGGGAAUAGAUAGGCUUUGAAGCUUUCUCGCUGGAAAUCGACACUCUGCCUUUACCUGCUGGCAGGUCAAACACCUCGCCACGAAGCACACAAUAUCAGUUUUCAUCUCCGGCCACCAGUAGAGCGAUUUCAACUCAUGAUACAUCUUGGUGCCGCCCGGGUGGUCAGCAUAUGGAGACCGGUGUGCUUCUUGCAGAAUCAGCUCACGAAGCUCCUUAUCCUCGAGUUCACACCACCGGUUUCGAAACCGAAGUGCACCGUCGGCGUCUACACUAAAAUCGCCGCCAUGGCCCUCCUCGACGCUGCGCCACACCUUUUGGAGAUUCUGGUCCGCAGAUUGCAGACUCUUAAUCCUCUCUAAUAAGGUCGGUUGAACCACCGGCGCCAUCAAUUUAGUCGGAAUCUCCGAAGUCACAACCUCGAGAUCCAUUCGCUCCAUGUCCAACCAUAGGGGCGAUUGAUUUGUAACCUACAUAGCGAGGUUCUCCGCCGACUUCCUACUAAGCGUAUCCGUGACUACAUUCGCUUUGCCUGGGUGGUAUAGGAUGUCAACAUCGUAGUCCUUUAACAGCUCCAACCACCGCCGCUGCCGCAUAUUAAGCUCCUUCUAGGUAAACAAAUAUUUCAAACUUUUAUGGUCGGUGUAGAUCUCGCAGUGUGCAUCAUACAGAUAGUGCCUCUACAGCUUCAGAGCAAAGAUCACCGCCGCCAAUUCCAUGUCAUGAAUGGGGUAGUUCUUCUCAUAGCCCUUCAACUGACGGGACGCAUAAGCGAUCACCUUCCCGCCUUGCAUUAGGACACAACCCAAACCUAGAUAGGAUGCAUCACUAUAAACCGCAUAAUCCUCGCCAUGCACUAGUAAGGCGAGCACCGGAGCCGAAGUUAAUCUCUUCUUCAACUCGUUGAAACUCCGGUCUCAGUCAUCACUCCAAAUAAACUUAACGCCCUUCUGCGUCAGACGGGUAAGUAGGGUCACGAUCUUCUAGAAGCCCUCCACAAACCGUCGAUAGUAGCCUGCUAGGCCCACAAAGCUUCGAACCUCGGUGACAUUUGUUGGGCGCGACCAGUCCUUGACUGCCUCGACUUUCUUCGGGUCAACAAAAACAUCGCCCUCGGAAAUCACGUGCCCAAAAAAAGCCACCUCACGGAGCCAGAAGUCAUACUUCUUCAACUUUGCGUAUAGCUUCUCCUCCCGAAGGAUUUGAAGCACAAUACGCAAAUGCUCCGCGUGCUCCUCAUCGCUCCGCGAGUAGACCAAGAUGUCGUCAAUGAAGACCACGACAAAUCGGUCUAAACACGUCCUGAACACCCGGUUCAUCAGAUCCAUGAACGCAGCCGGGGCAUUUGUAAGCCCGAAUGGCAUCACUGUGAACUCGUAGUGCCCAUACCGCGUGCGGAAUGCGAUCUUCUGCACAUCCUCCGGCUUACUCUUCAAUUGGUGGUAGCCGGAUUGAAGAUCUAUUUUUGAGUACACGCACGACCCCUGUAACUGAUCAAAUAAGUCGUCGAUUCGGGGAAACGGGUACUUGUUCUUUAUAGUGACCUUGUUCAACUCGCGGUAGUCCACGUAGAGUCGAAAAGAUCCGUCCUUCUUGCGCACGAACAACACCGGGGCUCCCCACGGCGAUACACUCGGCCUUAUGAACUCCUUGUCGAGAAGAUCCUGUAACUGAUACCUCAACUCCCUUAGCUCUGCCAACGCCAUGCGGUACGGAGCCUUCGAGAUCGGCACGGUCCCGGGAAUCAAGUCUAUCACGAACUCGAUCUUCCUAUCUGGCGGCAUUUCCGGUAACUCUGCGGGAAAUACAUCUGGAAAUUCCCGCACAACUGACAAUUCCUCCAAAGUCGGGGCUGUUAGGUCCACCUCUACAACAGUCGCCAAAAAUGCCGCGCAACCGCUGCUGACCAACAUCCUAGCCCUCAUCGCCGAUACCGUCGCGGCGAAACACGAGCUUUGACAGGCCCGAUAAACAAAUUCCUUCUGUCCAGGCUCUCGGAAGAUGAUCAAUCUACUCUUACAAUCAAUCAUUGCAUAAUACUUCGAGAGCCAGUCCAUGCCCAAAAUGACAUCGAACGCCUCCAGUUUCUUGAGUUCCAGCAUCCGGAUAGGCAUUAUCCAGUCACCUAUUUGUACCGGACACGACAAACACUCCGUGUAGGUGUUAAAUGUCGACCCAGGGCCCUCAACUCGCCACAUGUCACUCGCUUCUAUGAGUAUGCCAUGCAUGCGUGCGAAUAAUCUACUAAUGAAUGAAUGUGUGGCACCUGUAUCAAACAUAGCCCUGGAAUGAACUCCGUUAAUCAAAACCAUACCUGCUACAAGGCGAUGCUCCUCCGCCUCAACAGGCUCCUCAACUUGAGCUUAAGCGGCGAACACCCGUCCGCUCGGAGCUAACCUCGUCAUCUCGGGUGGACGUGGCGCCAAAGCACGUCCAGCAGUCACGACUGUAGACGGAGCUCCUCCAUAAUGCGCUGGGGUCGCCGGAGCUGAUGCAACUGAUAAAGCCGGUGGGACCCUCGUCGGGCAAUUGCGGCAGAUAUGCCCAUCUUGGCCGCAAGUGUAACAUUUUCCCUGCCGCUGCCUACAUUGCGACGCUCUGUGGCCCCCACCGGAAAUAACGCAUCUCUGCGCCCUACGAUCCCCCGUCUGGGUCCGAGGGUACUUCGGAGGCUUCUUAGAGCUUGUUUGUCCUCCCGAGCCACCGCCCUGUCGCUUCUUCCCCUUCUCUUUGUCAAAUAUCUCGCGCUCCUCUCGCUCACAAGCGUUCCCGUGCUCAACCCACAGAGCACGAUCCAGCACCUCCGCAAAGGUAUGGAACUUGAAAGCAUGAACUAGUCGGAACACCCAGGGCCGGAGUCCCCUCACGAAGCAAUCCCCCCGAUCUUGCUCCGUCCUCGCCACAUCCGGGACGCAGUUCAGGAGAUGGGUGAACUCCCGCUCAUACUCCCGAACCGUGCGAUUACCCUGCUUGAGCUUUCUGAAGUCCUCUCUUAUCUUCCUUUUAUUACUGUCGGGGAAGUACUCCGCAAACAUCAACCUUCGGAACUCCUCCCAAUUAAUCGGGGGAAGAUCCGAAGAACGGUCCUGCUUCACACUCUUCCACCACACUCUGGCCCGCUUAUCGAAGCAAUGCGCGGCCAAAUUCACCUUAUCCCGCUCCUUGGUGUAGAUGUCCUCGAACAGCGUCUCCAUUGAGGCUAACCAAGUCUCCACUGUCCAAGGAUCAAUCACUUCUCCAUCAAACGUGGGUGGGUGGAACUUCGUAAACCUGGUGAGAGCCGUGUAACCACGCUCUCGCUCCACCUCCUCAGCCGCCAUAUCGGGUGUAGGAGAACUCGAUGCUGCAGGAGGGAUGUCCACCGGCGGGGGUUGCAUCGCCACCGGCGCCGCCGUAGCACCCUCACCCUCAGCCGCAUCAGGAGCGCGAGCCGAAGGCGCGGGCGGAUCGCGACCUUAACCUGCUGCUGCAGCCGCCUCCGCCGCUUGCUGCUCCAAUAGCUCCUGCAGCCGAUCGAACCGUCCAGUUAGUGCGGCAACUUGUGCCCGCAACUCCUGCACCUCACCUGGUCCUGCCAGUUCUGGCACCACUGGAGGCGGUGCCGAAGCGGACCUUCGCACGUAGCGUCUCUUUGGUGCCAUUAGCUCCUGAAACGCAAACAUUUGGUUAAUUACUUAACUCGUUAAUGCCGUCGCAAUUACGAAGCGAGAUGACUAGACAACAAAAUCGGGCGUAAGCAAGCAAGCGCACUUAUUCUGGGCUCUUAGCGUCAUGUCGUCGGCCUUCGACACAACCACUCUAAGCCAAGAACUAGUAACACUUGAAUCCGUCUCUAUUCACAACUAGAGACAUAACAUCAAUUUCGACCCAAUCGAUUCAACUUCCGCUACCGCUAUAGGUUCACGUCGCACUCACGCACCUAUAUCCUUAGGGUUUACCAACCUAGGGUCUCCUAGGUCAUCCUAGACUCUCUCUUUACUUGCUCGUAACUCGCUCUGAUACCACUUUAUCUGUCACGCCCUGAGACCCGCUACCAAUUUGGUCCAGUUCGGGCACGUCGAACAGACGCCGAAUAGACAGAACCUCCCCUGUCCGCCCAAGGCUCAACGACAAGAUCAUGUACAAUAAGUUCCCAGGAAUAUACUUGAAUACAUACAUGAUCACAACAGCAAGAGCACAACCAGUGCUAAACAAAUGAGAGCAAGCAUCACAAGUAGAGAACAUACAAGUGAAUAAAAGAGAGAGACUAAGCUAUUACAUUCAUUUAACCACUUUAGAACAUUUGAUUACAUUUAAUCUUCCAAAACAUGUGUACAACUCAUCCAUCACAUAUAUAAACAUACAUGGAUACAUCUCUCAAGCACCUCACCACCUAUACAUCAACUACUCUCAUAUGUACAUGGGUGUCAUUAGUGCAAUAGGAAGCCAGUACCAACACUAGGGCGCUAGGCCCUUACCGCGAUCCUCAAUCGGAGUGCUCGAGCUCAGUCCUGCAACAAAGUGGGGUGAGAACUACGAAUAGUUCCCAGUGGGUUCGGCCGCUGACUCCGCCGAUCUCCGCACUAGGUCUAAGCAGGCAUAAGCAGAUAGAUAGAUAGAUAUUUAACUGAAAUGAAAGCAUAGUAAAGAAACUAUAGUAUACUACUAUGCCUGGCAAGUAUGCAAUGAACAAUCGAAGCAAGUAUCACUAAGAUCAUGCUACAAGCAAGUAUGUAACCUACUAUGGUCAAUAUGUCCAAUGUCCAACAUGUCCAUUAUCCAAUCCUUGGCCAACCAAGAGUUAGCCCUCGACUCACAUCUCAAUCCCACCUAGGUGAGGACCUCGUUGUCAACCAACCCGGGACCGUCUGCGGACAACUACGUCUGUCCUGAACGUGACCAACUCCGGAGCACACUAACAGGGGGAGCGACCACCCCAAGCACAGACUAUGUGAGUAUAAUCCAUCCUCGCCAUCGAGGAAGCCCUAUCCUCUAGGGUCAUCAAUCUCUCAGGAAUACGCUAGUUUGUAUCCAUGUCCAAAGCCUCAACGCUAGCAACUGUGUCAGUGACGCACAAGUUCUCAUGCAAGAUGUCCAACUAGGGAAAACUCAUCUAGUCCCUAAAGCAUUAUAUCAUAGUGUUCUUUACACUAAGUUCUAAUGCCACUCGUCAAGUGUUUUCUAUGUUCCAUGCCACACGUCAUAAUACAAGUCCCAACAUUACACAUGUCAUUAACUUUCAUAAUCAUAAGAUCAAGUUACUACUUAUCUUUAUCACUAUAGGGUUCUAAGUCAUUAUACUCAGUCUCAUGCCUUAUAGGUUCAAGUGCCAAUCAGAUUGCUACACUACCAAGAAGCAUGCUAGGAUAAAACAUAACUAUCGACACCCUAUAAUGCAUAAUACUACAUGUGCAAUAUGAUCAACAAAAUACAACUUAGACAUAGGGAGUAGCUCAACUGCUUCAGGAUGGACACCACCCACCUUGUGGCAACGUCGCGGCGCUGGGAAUACAAUUCGUCGAUUUUACGACGCCUCGUUGGCCUUUUAGGCGGAAACGAAGCUCCGAGGGUCUCUUUUGACAAUAACUUCGCACCCGCUCGACGAAUCCUCGAACCGUCUUCGCCUACGCGUUUAGAUACCUAGCAAUUAGGUUUACGACCAAUGAAUUGAGAUCAAAACCCAUUAUUUCUCAAAUACCCAUUUUGGUGCCCCAGGUUUCAACAACGAAAAAAUACUCCGAUAAAACUCUAGAUUCUUGCCAUUAGCACAUCACUAGCAUCAUAGGGUUUAAUCAAAACCAAUCUUAGAGUAUUCCAUCAAAACCCUAGGAAGAUACCAUUAAAAGGGUUCGGAGCUCACCUCCAAAAGCCUUUCCACACUUGAGGAAGAAGAUGGAGAGGGUGAUCCUCCUCUUCUUUGCCUUCUUCUCCUUCUUCUCCUUCUUCUUCUUUCUCCUUCCUUGAGAGAGAGAGAGGGAGAGAGCAAGAGUUUAGAGAGGGAGAGAGAGAUGUUUAGGGCUCUCUUGGGGACAAAUGAGAAGAGAGAGAGAGCAAGAACCUUCAUAUAUCUAUACUCAUGCAAAAUUGCAUUUUAGCUCCUCAACUUUGCCAUCUUACAUCAGCCCAUUUUGGGCAAUUUCGGGGUACGGGGUCCGGACCCUCCAGCUUGGGUCCGGACCCUAAGAGUUGGGACACCAUAAGAAUUGCACACUUUGCAAUUUUCAAAGUUUUCGCAGCUACGGGGUCCGGACCCUACCACCAGGGUCCGGACCCCGAGAGUUGCCCAAGUAUGCAAGUUGCACACAUGAAAUUUCCAAGUCCUUGGGGGCUUUCUCGCAGCUACGGGGUCCGGACGCUACCACCAGGGUCCGGAUCCCGAGAGUGAUGAAAUGGUGCAAACUUGCAAACUUGGAAUCCUCAACUCUCCAAGGUCUACCCUAAUGCGCUUUUCGCAUUUCCAUCGCAUUCGGACUUUUCAAAGUAUACCAAGUCGACGAUAAGUCGAUUCCAAAUUAAGUCUAACUCUCAAAUUGCGAGAAUUCACUUCCUGACACUUCCCCCUAUGAGACUUUGAGACGUGAGAUUGAGGGCGUCCCCCUUCAGGUUAGCCUAGUGAUUGGGUGACAAGUAUAUGAGCCAUAGAGUAGAUUUGGUAUCCCAGUUGAGUGGAUCUAAGGCUGAGGUGCAAGUGAAACGUCCUUCGCCUCGAGCCUGGCUUUGCGCGGCAUUCCGCGGAUGAUUGACUCAAGACCGAGUCGGGUGGUUAGCUUUGCAAAGGUAGAUGAAACCUUAUGAUUAAAACGGUAAACGACAAGAAUCUAAGAUAGAGGAACAUUAAAUGUCAAUUGGAUGAACUAUGGUUAGCAGGAUUGAAAGUAGUAUCGAAUGAACUACUAGUUGGUUGCAUAGUUGUAUUAUUGCAUGAUUUACAUAUAGCAUGACAUUGUUGCAUUCGUGAGGCAAAGCAUGGUAUUAUAGUUGCAUAAUCUUGAUAUCCUAUUUGUCUGUUUAUUAAACUAACCUGUAGUUUGCCUCCUUUGGACCUGUUGGUCGAGCUUUUUUCUUGGAUGGCAGUACUCACUGGGAACCAUAGAGUUGGUUCUCACCCUACAUUACUUUGAGGUGUUACAGGUUCGCACGUGAGCUGCGCGGCGGCGCGAGAAAAAGGCGUAGCUCCGUAGAUAGCGCCCUACCACAGAGACCAGAGAUAGCAGUACCCCGAGUCGACAUAUCCUAGGGGUAUAAAGAUCAAAAGAUUAAUAUAUCGAAUUUGUAAUGAAUAAAUGAUGUAAUGAUUCAGAUUGCAUUUAGAUGAAAAAGAAUUGUAAUUAAGUUGUAAAAAUGUAUGAAUGUGAAUGCAUGUAAUAACUUAGGUUGUGUUAUAUUGUUGAUACCUUCCUUAUGCAAUCUCUACUUGAAUACUGUCCCUGUUUGGGACCUCUUGUAUUGUAAUUGAUUGUGAUGUGUAGAACGUACAGGAGAAACUCUGUCCGUUCGGCGGUCUGUCGGCGUGCCCGAAUCCGACCAAAUAGGCGGGGUUCGGGGCGUGACAAAGUGUCUCAAAAUUAGAUUUUAUAUUUUUUCGACCUUGUAGACUUGAUGAUCAAAAAAGUUGCAAAAUUUGUAAUUUUGAUAUCGGCUACUGCACUUUUGUUUAGACUACUCGAAGUGUCUCGAAAUUAGAUUUUAUAUUUUUUCGACCUCGUAGACUUGAUGAUCAAAAAAGUUGCAAAAUUUGUAAUUUUGAUAUCGGCUGCUGCGGUUUUGUUUAGACUACUCGAAGUGUCUUGAAAUUAGAUUUUAUAUUUUUUCGACCUCAUAGACUUGAUGAUCAAAAAAGUUGCAAAUUUUGUAAUUUUGAUAGCCGAUAUGGGGCAUUUACUAGCUUAAUGAUGCAAAAAAUUUAAAAUUAGUUAAAUCUUUGUUUAAAAAUUUUUAAAAUUAUUUAAGAUAAGAUCUACACAUUUGAUCUUCAAUAUAAAAAUGCUAUCAUUAUUUUUUAAGGAUAUUUAUUUUCAAUUAUCUAUGUUGGUGUUUACUUAAUACACAAAGGAAGCUUAUUUUUUGUUUGAAGCUAUUCUCUUCAACAGCUAUAGUCGGAACAGCAUCCGAUCAAAUUUUAAUUUACCUGUAUUUAUAACUAUAAUGUAGUUAAAACUAUAUGUGGAUAAAUAGCCCUUUCACUCUCUUUAGUUGGUAUGAUUUUAUUUACACCGCAAGUCGAAAUACAACAAUUACAGCUAUAAGGAAUCGAACAGCCCUUCUACUCUCUUUUUUUUUUUCGAGAAAUAGGUAGCAUGCUACCUGCUUCGUUUGUUUCAUUUAGAAAUAAACUUAGCUAGAAAUGUGAAUCAACUAGGAUUCGAACUUAGGUCUUGGGUACCAACCACUAAGCCCUUUGCCACUUGCUCUAGGGACGGUCGGUCCCUUCUACUCUCUUUAGUUGGUAUGAUUCUAUGGCGCUAAUAUUAAUCCCAAAAGCUCGAGCUGUCCGAAGUACGCGGCCAAUUCACUUAAAGUGUACAGAUACCGCGCUCACGGAUCUUGAUUGUGACUCGACCCAAUCAGUCCCACGCUACUUCGAACGUGACUCGGCCCAGCCCAACCUUACAUCAUUUCAAAUAUGAUUGGACCCAAUGUAACCUUCCAUCACAUGAUAGAAUGUUAGUCUAUUUAAGCCAACAAUUAGAACUAUAAAUAAGAGUAAUGCUACUAUACUCUUAUGAGUAUAGACUCCUUUGUAUUCAUAAAUUUUCGAUCGUUGGAUAAAGAAUGUCCGGUUAGAAUGAGAGUGGUCUCCGGUUAUGAUAAUAGUGAUUUCUUAGGAUUGAGUGAAUGAUUGGUUGAAUAGUAUGAUCUAAUGUAUAAAAAUGAUUAAAAAAAUAAAUUUAAUGGCUAAAAAUUUAUGAAUAUACAAGAUUUAUACUUAUAAGAGUAUAGUAAAAAUGCGGCAAUUACGGCCUACAAAGAAUCAAAUUGAGUUCCUGACUUUCUAAUUUUGAGAGUGGCAUCUUGGUAAUAAAAGGCAACAACAAGGGUGAAGAAUUUUACAGAAAAAGAUAGUACAUUUAUUUUUGGUGGAGCGAACACGCUAUAGGCGUGACAUCACAUCAUUGCAUUUUCAUUUUUUUUUCUCGGUUUUUUGUUUUUACUUUUUCUUUUUCUUUUUCUUUUUUUUUUCUUACAGAUGCACUCUACGAUUACAUAAUAAGUACCACAUAAAAACUACCCAAUAUUUUUGAACAUGAAUAAAUUGUACGAUUAGCCCCUGCACUUCUGGUUAGGUUUGUUUUGGUAUUGAAAAAUUUAAAUUUGACAUUUAAUUCUCUAGAGAAGUUUUACUUUGCUACUACUUCAUGAUAAAAAAAAUAGUUAAAAUAUAGAAAAUCUCUACGUAAAUAUUUAUUUUCUUAUUGUUCCUCUCCGACUCUCAAAAAUAUGUAUGUUAUUCCUUCAAACUUUAGCCUUUUUUUGUCAGGGUUUCGUCACUAUUUCGUUUAUUUCUUAUAAUAAUUUAUACCAAAGAUAUCCUUAAAAAUAAUAAAAAAACUAUUAAAAAUUAUUUUUUAUAGCACGAGAAUGAAAAUUUGGCCAUUUCGCCUCUCUCGAUUAAUUAAUCUAUAACUCUUUGAAAAUAUUUCUAAAAUUUUAAGGAGAUAAAAUAUUGAGUUUUGAAAGUCGUAGAGAAAAACUAAAAAACAGAUGUUUAUAGAUUUUUUUUUUUUGGUAUUUUAACCUAAAACAUUAUUGUUUGCAAUUCAUUCGACUUUAUGUUUACGCAUAACAAAUGCAUUAUCCCUUUUGUCAUUUCAAUUUUUUCUCUCAAGUAGUCUAAUUUUUUAAAAGGUCUCCGGCUUAAUGAAUGAUAAAACUAAAAAUAUUGCAUAAAAUUAAUAAUUGAUAAAUAUGCGAUAUAUAUAAAUGUGCAGAUGCAUUCGUUAUUUAAGCUAAAAUUCAUCAUUAAAAAUAGAUAAGUAUAGUAACUAAAAAUAAAAUAAUUUAAAUAAUUUACACACAUGUUCAGUAGCUAAAGUGAAACGGAGACACAGAGUGCUCAGACUAGUGAUGUAAUUUAUUCAUUUUAAACCCAUAAAAAUGUAUUGAGCCCUCCUCAACUAAACAUUUUGUAACAUUACGCGCUAAAAGUAAUUUAAAUUAUAAAUUAAAUUUAACAAAAUUAUCAAUAAAUUUAAGAAAUUUUUUUUUUUUACUAAACUGACUAAAAUCUCCCAAUUCAAAAAUAAAAUUAAAGGCUAAAAAAGCACAAAUAAAACCAAAGGAGAAGUCGAGGGACCAUUUCAGAAAAUUCCUAUUGCUCAGGGGUUCCCCGUACAUUUCUAACUUUGAAAUUGGUAAAUAUUGUAGGCAUAAGCAGCACGCUUCUCAAAGCAGCGUGGGGGAGAAGCGUGGGACCCUUCAAACGGAAAAUGACGUAAUAAAUUGUUUUCAUUUAAAAACAACAAAAAUAAUAAAAAAUAAGCACCACUUGUGAAUUUUCUUUUUUUUUUUCUUGAUAAAUUACAUUUUACACUCAAAUAAUAGAGAUUUAAUCACCAAACCUGUAAUUUAAAAUGUAUCAUUUUAGUACUAUAUAGUUUCAUUUUUUUUCUUUUCGUUAUUCUCUUUGUUAAUAUUUUCGUUAAAUUAGUGAUAAAAUUAAUACUAUAGGAUAUUAAAGUAAAAAUUCGGUAAACCGCACGAUAUAUUAAAGUGAAUAUUUGAUAAAGUAUGGAUGGAGUAUCCGAAAUUUUUUAUGUAUGAUUUAGCGAAUGAAUGGGUUGACAGAAAAAGAAAAAUAAAAUUAUUGUGUACUAAAAUGAGAAAGUGCAAAAUUAUAGAAAUAAUAUAUGAAGUUUAUCCAAAAAAAAAUCAGAAGGCACUAAAGUGAAGCAAAAGUAGCAAAGAUUUAACGAACGAAAGUGCUGACAGAAAUAAAAUAAAAUAAAAUUAUAAGGUACUGAAAUAAGAAAGUGCAAAAUCAUAUGAAUGAUAUUUGAAGUUUAUCUCUUUUACACAUAAAAGAAUCAUAGGAUUAAUUGGUAACUAAUAAUAAAGUUUAGGGGAAGCGCUUCUUUAAUUUAGAAUCAGUAGCUAUCAAAUGGACGGCGAGGAUGAUCGAGUCGGUAACACGCUUUUGCUUUGCUUGUGGAAAUUGCUAAGGAAUCCAUUACUUUAUUAUCUCUUUGACUCACAUCAUUGAAUUAACGUACUUAGUUUGAAAACAAAUAAGGAAUGGGUCUUCAUAAAUUAGGGGGAUUUUGACACGUUACUGGCAAGAAAUUUGUUGGCAAUCCAGCUCGCGAGCUCAUGUUUCGCUUGAUAUAAGCUCGAGAUUGAUUGUCGGUUUAAUAAACGGGCGAUACAGUGAAUGUGUGAAACAACCAUUGUACUUUAGGGUGCGUUUGGUUCGCAUUAUGAAAGAUUACUAGGAAUAAAAGAUAUCCGAGAAUCUUAUUCCUAUUCAUCCUAUUACUAAGAAUGCGGAAUUCCUAUGUUUGGUUCGCGCGGUAAUAUUAAUUAGCCAUAUUAUUUAAUAUUACAAAAAAUAUACAAUUAAUUAAUUAAUUUAUUUAAUUAAUUUUAGAUAAUGUUACCAAAAGUUUCAACAUCUUUUUAGAAAAAAAAGAGAGAGAGUAUAAGUUAGAGAGAGAGAGCAUAAUUAAAAAAAUUUUAUCCCCACCCUUGUUGAACAAGGGUGGGGAUAAGGUGGAUUCCCACCCUUGAUCGAUAAGGAUGGGAAUUGCCCAAUCCUAUUAGGCAAUUCCCACCCUUAUCGAUCAAGGGUGGGAAUUUUUAUCACAAACCCCUUGUUCCCCCCCUAUUGGGGAAUAGGGGUGGGAACAAGGGGUUGGUUUGUACCGGAAUUCCCACGCAAACCAAGCGCGAUAGAAAAUUUCUAAGGAUCAUUAGGUUACCCUUAUUUUUUAAUACUGCCACAAACCGAUUUACGUAAUUCAUUAGAUCAACCAUUAUAACCUAAGUGAACCCUUAUUCUAAGUGGGGUUUCAUGAUUAGAGUAAGGGAACUCCCUCCCACCCAUAGGAGUAUAAUUACCUAACCCCAUUAGUAUUAUACAGAUUAGAGAAAGAAAGAAGGAUGGGCAGCCGAUUAACUAUAAUAAACAGAAAUGUGAGAUUGGAAUAUAGAGAGAGAUUUGAAUAAAAAGAGAAAUUUUAAAUUGAAAAAAAAAGAGAGAGAUUUGAUUCGAAAGAGAGAGAGAGAGAAAAAUUUUAAAGUUGAGAGAGUGAGGAAGAUUAAAACUGAUAUAAAAAGAAAGANNNNNNNNNNNNNNNNNNNNNNNNNCUUAAAUUUGAAAAUAUAAAACAUUAAAAUUUUUAACAUUUAAACUCUAAAAUAUUAAAAUUUUAAUAUUUUAGAGUUUAAAUAUUAAAUUUCAAAUUUGAAAUUAAAUUCUACUUUAAAAUUAAAUUUUUAUGUUUUAUAGUUUAAGAUUUAUUUUUUUAAGUUUUAUAGUUUAAAAUUUUAAAUUUUAAUUUGUUGAAUUUAAAAUUUAAAACAUUAAAAUUUUUAAUAUUUAAAAUUAAAAAUUUGAAUGCUUUAAAUUUAAAAUAUUAUUUAAUUUUUAAGAGAGUGAGUGAGUGUGAGAGUGUGUUUGUGUGUGUGUGUGUGUGUGAGAGAGAGAGAUAGAGAGAAGUGCCCACCUUGUUCGACCCAAUAGGAUCGAAUAAGGUGGAACCCCACCCUUGUGAUCUCCACCCUUGCGAUCACAAGGGUGGGGAAUUGCCCGAUAAGAUCUUAUCGGGCAAUUCCUCCCUUAAUCACAAGGGUGGUAAAAAACAAACACAAACCCCCUAUUCCCACCUUAUUUGGGAAAUAAGGUGGGAAUAGGGGGUUGGUUUGUAUCGGAAUCAUUGAUAAACAAAUCGUUUACUUGGAUAUUUAUCAAUCGAAUUGUAGAAAACUUCGUUUCGGUAAUCUUGUAGCAUUUAGAAUUACGUUCAUUGGUUCCUUAAGAAUGAACCAAAACUUAGUGAACACUCCGACAAGAUAUGGCCAGUGCAUACUCGGAAGGGCCAAGAGGACGUUUUUAUUACCCGUUUUGAUUCUGGCGCGUUCGUAUUAAUAUACUAUAGUGUCUAUAGCGUUCGUUUUAAUUUCGAAGCAAAUGAGAAGUUAUUAUAACUUAAGUGAUCCGAUUCAAUUGUCAGAAUAUGUUAAGUACAGUUUCUACGUAGAGUUUAAUCAAGUUAGAGAUUUAGAAUGCCUUUUAGUUGAUCAGUAAUAAUCAUGAACGUACGAACAAUAUCAAAUUACUUGUUUAAAAGUUUCGACCCUAUAGAAAUUUUUCAAUACGGUAACUUCCGUAAGAUGUUAUCUUCUUGAGGCUAUUAGAUAACUACCUUCUUUUUAAUUAUUGUUACUACGGCGGUAAUUAGACGUAAAUCUUUAUAUAUUUUCUUCGUAGAAUUGGACGAAAGAGUCUAAGUUCGAGGGGCCGUCUGUAUUAAUGACCAAGUUAAGGGUAGUGAGCUUUUUAUUCGAGUCAAACUUUACAAAAGGGAACAGGAAAAGGAGGGGUAUAUGGAUGUAGUGUAAUCAUAAGAAUUUAAACGGUUUAUCUCUUAGGUUUAUCAUGAUAUUAUGUGUCCUUGAAACAUUCGAGUUCUUUUUGUACUGAAUCCAAACUUUUCAGAACUCUUGAUAGCAGUAUAAUCUCUAGAAUACUGGUAGUUCACUUGUUGUUUUCAUUAGUUUUUGCUCAAGAAUUAACGUCUACUCAAUAUUCCCAAGGAGUCAUCUUUCUAUUAACUAAGGUAGAGUUUCAACAGUCUACUCUCAGUUCUACUACUUUUGUGUAUAAGAGAAUGGAUUAUAAUCUCCUUGGAAUUACAACUCUUCUACUCGUUAUAUCAAGAAGUGUUACACCGUACGACGUUUUCUUAUUUUACAAUAAUGUUAUUACUACCGUAUAAUUAUUGUCUUGUCCCGUGAAUUGUUUGCCGUGUGAUCUCCUUAAAUCCAAAUGUCCGAAAAUAAUUUGAAUUAACUAUUGAACUCUCUUAAACUGUUCGGAUCUUAUGUACGAUGGAGUCUAGAUACACAAAUCUCUUGUAAAGUAAUCGAGGGUCUCUUUUAGGAGAUUUGAGUCAUAGUUGGCCUAGUGUGACAAUAGAAAGGAAGGUAUUAUGUUUAGUUUGCUAUCGGAUACCUAGUCCUCCCAGUUAAUCUUUCCUCAGAUUUUAUUCAACCCUAGUUUAGUUGAACAGGUGAACGUAAUCUUGGUUAACCCGCUUUUUUUCCCUGUAUGGAAAUUUCUUCCCUGGAUGUAGUCUAUUUAACAGUUUACGUACAUAGUUUAGAAUGAAAGUGCUAACUUUGUAUUUUUCCGGAAUAGUGAUUAAGAACAAUAAGUGAUAUUAGUACUGGAAGUUAAUGGUUUUUAAUGUUACGUAUAAACUUCAAGUUCUACGGUGUUCUCACCUCAGUAGAUUUAAAAGUACUGGUCUGUAGUGUAACUCUCUAAACCAAGGUCUAAUGUCACUACUUUUUUUAAACAGUUUCAAGUAGGUAAAUUUAAUGUAACCGAACAACUAUGGAGUUUCAUACAUGAGCCGUAACAAACAUGAGCCGUAACAAAUUCGGUUUUUUAAGCUUCUUUGUCUUUUAUUUUAAAAGAGCUAUGAUCCCCAAUCAGUUCUACCUCUUUAGUUGUUUAAAACUAUCAGCAUAGGAAAGACCUGUUAGUUUAUUCAUUUUCUCAGUGUACUUAGUCAAGGUAUAUUAAGCUUCCUACAUGCGAUUUGUUAUUUCGUUUUUUUUUUAGUAAAGUUGUGGAUUGAGAUAUUAGAAGUUUAUACUUUUUGUAGUGUUGUACAUCUUCUAGUUUUCCGUUUUUUUUUUGUCUCUUUUCAAGAAAGUCGAAGUAUUAUGGAGUGAUUUAAGUUCCGAACGUUUUAGGUUCGGUUCAAAUUUCACGAAUGGUUAAAAUAGGACAUCUUUUAUUCUUUACAUAAAACAGUUUAGAUAAUUAGUUACAACCCUCCGUUGUUUUUAAUAGUUCUCUCUUUUUAUCAGAUAACUUAUUUUAUUACGUCACUUUUCUCCAUUUUGUUUCGUUUAUAUUAUUUAUUUUAAAAGAGGUUAAUCACUUUAUGUAUAAGAGGAAAACUCCUUUAAUGUUGGAUUUGAUGUGUGAAAACAUCUAUUGGCGGGUAUCAAAGUUGAAAGUUUUCAAUUAUAAUUUAUAAUUUCAUAAAUUUAUGGCAAGAGAUAGUCGAAUUUGAAAAUCUCUUGUUGCCAACAAAGCAUAAUAAAUUGUACCAUAGUCUCGUCCUCCAGGACUCAAGCUUAAUGCGGUCCGAGGUUUGUAAUAAUUAAGGAGGAUAAAUUAAACAGGCAUAGUACCGGAUGUUUUUCAGAGCUCGGGUUUGUACUCCCUUUCACAAUAUAUAUUUUUAUAAAUUUAUGGCAGGAGAUAGUUAAAUUCGAAAAUUUCAUGUCGCCAACAAAACAUAAUAAAUUGUUAAUUUUGUUCGGUGAGCAAAGAUAGUUAGUGGGUCGGGUGUUAAAACACUCAAAAAAAUAUUAUUGAUAAUCGUGAACUGACAGUGUAGUAGGAAUGCUCGAGUAUAAAAUGGGUAUAGAAGCUUUGGUCACCUCCCCGUAAACUCCAAAAAACCGAAAGUAUACUACUUACCGACGUUCUUUUUGACUACCUUUAUUCGUAUCUACCGACGAACUUUACCUGUGUAACAAUCCCACAUUGAAAUAAAAAAAAAUUACUAAAAAGCUUCGAACCCGCCAGGUCGGGAUUCACGACUGUUAAAAAUAUUUGUUGGGUGGUAGUCGUCCUUAGUUGAAUUAUUUUAUCUCCCGACUUUUACAGGAGAGGUUUUAGGGUCGUCCCGAUCUCCAAUUAAGUGCGUACUAUGCUAAAGUUAUUAUCCACGAUUUAAUAAUUACUGUGUUGUUCGCUCUAAUUCUUCGAUUAUAAUACGUUGCUACGUUUUCUCUUGUAUAACAAAACCAACGAGUAACGUUGAUCUCUUGUAAAUAUCGUUAACGUUAUUUAAUCCAACUGUGAUAGGAUGUUUUCUUAAAGAAUACUUACGUGUUCUGUAGCAUCAACUUUGAACUCCAACUAACCAAUUCUUGGUCGUUACUUCUUUUCUUGUACAUGUUAAUCAUUCGAUAUAUCCGUUUUUCGUUUUUAAAUACGUCGUGUCAUAAGAACUAUUUACAGUAAAAUGUACAGUAGUAGGUUCGACAGAGGUUGUUUUACUUCGUCGAUUUCGUGUAGAGUUUCUACUUUUCCGGGACUUUCUUAAACACAUUUUGGCGAUUUUUUUUCUUUUAGGUGUUGUUCUUGAAUAGUACUUUCGUACUCUGGUUAACCGUUCAUCCCGAUGUACUCCAGAACAAUAUAAGAUCAGGGUAUUGAUUACGAGUUGUUUAAGAGGGUUUUUUAGAGGAACCUUUAUAAGAUCGACAAGCUGUUUCUUAUGUUGAAAACAACUACUUUCGUACUCCGUACGUCCCUAACGAUAUUUUAAGUUUCAUUUUACCUCCUAAACCGUUUUUUUUAUCACAUCUUUCACUCUUGUAGUAAUAUCAAUUCACACUAUAUCACAUCAAUUAAUGUUUGUUUGUCCAUGCCCACUAAUAAUUCUUCAUUUGAAUGUCUAAAAAGUGUAUACAAGUGUAUAAAUGCGACGUUAUUAUAGAAUAAACGUAAAUAUGAGAAGUUUUUGACCAUUGAAGUAAUGUACGGAGUAUGGUUCAUAUUUUAUACAUAAGAUAGAUUUUGUCGAUUUUAAAGAGUAUACGGUCUAAAGCCCGGAAAGAGACGGAUGUAGAAUCUUUUCUUAGUCCAUUUGAUCGAACGGGUUUAUUUUCAUUUUCAGUAAGUUUGGAUACAAAAAUCUCAUCACGAAGAUAUGAGCAAUAAAAAGCUAUGGCAAGUAAGUAAAGAUAAGAUGCCGAGUCUAAAUUAAAAAAAAUUCAACAUUGAAUGUUAUUGUACAGUGAAAUUCUUUCCAUGGUUAAUAGUUCAUGGGAUUUCUCCCUAUAAGACCAGAAAAUUAUGAACCCAUUAAUAGUGCAUAAUUUAUUAAAAUGGAGUUGAUAUAAUAGUUUUGGGAAAAAGAGAGACAAAAGAAAAAGAGAGAGAUAGAAAGGAGAGGUAAGUGUCUACAAAGCAACAAAGUUUUAAAAGAAUUUGUAUAAUUUAUACGAUUUAAAUUUAUAAAUGGUUGUAAUUUUUUAAAAAUUUAUCGCUAUGUUUUUAUUACAGAUUUAAUCUUUUAAUGAUUUUACAAAAUUUGUAUAAUUUAUACAAUUUAAAUUUAUAAAUGGUUGAAAGUUUAAAAAAAUUUAAUUGUUAUGUUUUAAUUACAGAUUUGAUCUCCUUAAAUUUUUAAAGAAUUUGUCUAAUUUAUACAACUUAAAUUUGUAAAUGGCUGUAAUUUUAAAAAAAUUCUUUCAUUAUGUUUUAAGGAGAUUGAAUUUAAAUUUAAAAUUUAUAAAUUAUAAAUUAUAAAGUUAAGUUGUAUAAAUCUUUAUUAUGAUAAAGAUUUUAAGGAUUUUAAAUUUAAUUACGGAUUUAAUAUCCUUAAGAUUUUAAGGAUUUUAAUUACGGAUUUAAUCACGUUUUAAUUACGGAUUUAUACUUUAUAGUUAGUGAAAGAAUUUAAUUAUGAAUUUAAUCACGUUUUAAUUACGGAUUUAAAUACUAUAGUUAGUUUUGAAAGAAUUUAAAACACUAUAAAUUAAUUUUUUUAUGGGAGAUGUACUUCAUUGGAAAAUUGGACGAUAUACAAUUUUAUUGUGUAAUGGGAAAUAACUAGUUGCCAAUUCUAGAAAAAAUAAAAAAUAUUUUAUUUCAUGGUUUAGUAAAGAGUACAAAAAUUAUAUAUUCAUAAAUUUUAGUAUUUUUGAUCUUCGUAUUUGGUACUGCACGGAAUCGAACAUGUAAAAACACAGUUAAGGGAAAAGGAACACUAAAACAAAAGAACGAAUACUUACUUCGUCCGACUCAACGAAGUUGAACUUGGGAAAGUAUUUCUCGCCUUUUUCUUUUUGUUAUGGUUAGUUCAUGUAUCAAACAAUCCCUUCAAGUUCGACUCAAGUUCAGGUGUAUUAGGGCUGCUACACUGUUUUGGGUAAUUGAGUUUUCGAAUUGGGACAGCUUAAACCGGGUUAUAAGACAUAAUUAAGAAAUGAUGACACGAGGAGAUGAACAAUAAGGUAUACAUCGAUAAAAGUUUACACUUAAACAUUGUCUAGUUUUGGUACCGUGAGGUAUAUUCCGGUCGUAGUAUUUGUUCUUCUUGAGUUUUAAUUGUUGGAAUAAAAGCUUCAUUUACUAGGUUUUCUUGUUCUUGAGUGUUCUUUUUGCCCCCGAUACAUCAUUAGCGGGAGCUCUAUGAGCUUGCUGGCGCAGCGGAAGACGGCCAUUAGUUUGUGCUAUAGGCGACGUGUGUAUUUGUUGGUUUGUUCUUCGUUUGUUGAUGUACUCUUUCGGGGUUAAGGUAGAAUCUACUUUGCAUAAUCGGGAUUUUAGGGAUUAUUUUAAUUUUGUUUCUCUUAGAAUGUUAGGAAGGGUUCCUUGACAGGGUGUUUCUCUAGUAGUUAGUGCGGAACGGCUCGGGGAUGACGCUACAAGUACAAUAGGCUGAGGAAAGGCUCCGCUAUGUUCAUUAGCAAGGGGAGGCUCAGGAAGCUAAGGGUGCUCCUAACGAAGCUUUAGGAGCAGAGCCCUCGAAGAAGGCCUCUUCUUCUAGGUAGCCCCCGAGCUCUCCUCCUCCUCCUCCUCCUCUUCGUCUCCUCUCCCUUCCCAAAGCUAAACGACUGGAAACCUUUAAAUCCCAAAGCCCCUACCAAAACCGCGCUUCUCUUACUCCCCCUCCCCCUCUCCUUCUCCAGCCCCAACGUCACCUCUUGGCGGUAACCUACCUCCAACUCUACCCUACGUCUACUCUCUCAAAGAAAACACUGGCAACCCUACUAUAGAGGUUGCCGGCCUUCUUUGGUCCCAAAGGACUACCACUUUUACAUUCUUCGGAGGAGUUGAAACCGCGCAAAACGUUGCACGGGGAUUUGUAAAACGUGACAAGAAUUAGAGAAUGAAUAAUCACAAACUAAGAGUUCAUUUGGCUUUUAUCAAUUUUAAUAGAGGCGAUAAGAUGAUUUACUGGGGAUUUACAAAGCCCGUAGGCUUUGGAGGAUAAGUACGAUAAAGCCUACCAGGGAUAACGUGGGGUAGAAAGCUUUAGGAAGUGCCAGUAUAGGUUUAAUGAAAGAUCAGCGGGUCAAGGACGUAGGCUUUAGAAAUUACUAAUUUAAAUUAUUUAGUAGUACGACUGAGUAGUUUAGGUGGCUGAAUUUAUGGUUGAUUUAAAACCUAACGAUGUCAUUAAGACUCGUAGAUCUUGGUUCCGGGUUUAGGAUAAGCCUAUGAGGAAGCCGUUAUAGCUCGCAAGAUUUCACUCAAAGCUUAAGUAGAGUGGAACCUUGUUACGAAGAUCCGUGGGAUUAGGUUAAAACUCGCAAGUUUUCACCCUUUUUUUAAACGCUCACUCGGCUCUUUCCCAUGCUGGUCUAGUUAGGGCCUAGGUCGUUUGCAGCUGCCGGUCACUGUUCUAGUUUGUUUCCGGCUAAAUUAUUCCAUUCACUCCAGUAUUUAAGCGGUACCAUCUUUGGUUGUGUACACAAGACGUUCAUCAUUAACGUUAUCAACCGUAGCUCAAGCCUACCGUUCAAAGUUCCUACUUACAUUAUUUCGUUAGUGGUUUUCCUACUUCUACCGUCCUCAUCCCACCCUUUCAUUUCGUAUGUUCUCUUAACAUGUUCUUAUUCGUCCUUUUUUCGUAAUUCGUUCUGAUAAUAUUUUUACUCCAUCUCCCGUUCUUUUCAUCCGAGGUGGUAUCUUUUACUCUCCCUGGGUGCUAUUUCCUUUUCUCUCUAACACUGCUUGGUGAAUGAACCACCCUGCACCUAUCACAAAAUAUAGGUACCCUCAAGUUUCUCAAAAAUGUCUAUAGACUUUACGAGUAUCUGUGAUAAGAUGUUUAAUUAAGAUUAAAUCUUUAAUGAGAACGUUCUAUGGUUCGUCACUUACGUUCUUAUUCUUUUUUUUUUACGAGAUGGUUUAGUACAAGAUUAGUAUUAAUGUAACUUCUAAUAGUUCCUCGAAUUAAACACCUGAUUACACAUAGAGGCGUGUGGAAACGUCACACACACAAGAAAAAGAAGAAAUAAAGCAGAAGAAAGAGUUCAAAGCAAUAAAAAAAAGAGACAAUUAUGUUUCAUACUAAAAAACGAACCAAAUGAAAUAGCUCUUUUAGUACAAUUUUAUUACCGUAUUCGAAUCGUACACUAAUUCCUAGUUUAUCUUUUUAAUCAAUUCCAACUUCUAUAUUAUACUAGGGAAUACUGUUUUCAAUGUUUCAAUAAUUUAUACUUCGUGACGUAUCGACGUUUAGUCCUCCUUCACAACGAUCUGGUAACUAUGAGUACAUUCACUUUACAUCUCCGCUCAUGAGAUUUUCGAAUUCAAAAAUAUUUUGUCACAAAUAUAUAAAAAUAUAAAUUAUGAGAAGGGUUUUAAAAAUAUAAAUUAUGAGAAGGAUUUUAAAAAAAAACCUUCCGAGUAUUAUACUUAAACUUAAUUUACUCUCUUUUAAUUAUUAUGAUUCUCGAACCCACCGAGCUUGAGUUCUGGAGGAUAAGCCUACAAUACACUUUGUUAGUAAUACAAGAUUUUCGAACUCAUAAGAUAUCACAGUGGAUUUAAUAUAAAGAAAAAGAUAAUAUCAUUAUUUUUUAUUUUUAACUACCAACUUUAAUUCUUAUCCCAUCUUACCUAACCAAACGCUAUUUUUCUUAUUCCCAGCAAUAACUCAAUUUUCAUCCAAACACAAAAUUGAUCUAAUCCUCGCUUAUACCUCAAUUUAUACCUAUCCCUGGAAUACCCACUUUUUGCUUAUUCCCGAACCAAACGAUACCUAAGUUUAAGAGUAAAACGAAUUCAGGACCUUCUAUUCUGAUACUAUGUGAAACAAUCAUUAUACUCUAAAAGCUUAAGCUGUUAGAUAACGGUAUUUAAACAUUUUUAUAUUUAACAGAAUGCGAGUGAAGUCAGCUCGCUCGUGUUCGAUCCGAUAUGGCUCGAAUAUAUAUAUUCUAAUUUGUGCUAUUUGGAUUUUAGGCCAUGUAAAAGGACUGAUAUUUUGUAAAUUUCAAUUAAUUAUUAGAUUACGAUUUUAAUUUUUUAAAUAUUUAAAAAAAAAAAUUUACCCAGUAAUAAAACUGGUAAUCUAAUUUAUUGUUCCGGAGUCGGCUCGUAUUCAGCUCGUUAGUAAACAAGUCGAAUAUGAGCUAAAUUUUUUUGCUCGAUAUUUUAACUAGUCAGCUACAUGUGUCGGUCUCAGCUCGCUCAUAUUCGGAUAGUCGACAGCAAUAGUAUGGUUUGCUUACGCUGUAUCCUUUAGAACACAUUUAUGCCUUGGACAUGUUGAUAUCGAUAGGUUAACUUAAUAGCCAAAAAUAAAAAAUAAAAAAAAAAUCAUAUAACAUUAAUUUCUUUCUUAUCCUAUCAACUGGAAAACAGCAUAUGAUGCUACCAUGGUUUUUGGUCGAGGCAUGAGCCAUAUCAAUUACAAAAAUUUGUUUAAGACUAUUUGUACAAAUUUUUUUUAUUAGGUUGAUAUUUUAAAUAAAUAUAAUAUCAGAGUUAAUUUUAAAUUCUCUUUGUUCGACAAGAUCAUAUGUACCUAUUUUGUAAAUACACGUUACGUUGCGUCGUUCGCUUUAUAUUUAUUAUGCUGUGGCAAGAUCACGUGUACCUCUUCUGUAAAUGCAUAAUAUUGCGUCGCUCGCUUGAUAUUCAUUAUGCUCCAUUGUGCAUGUAAGCGAGAGUGUUAAAACUAUUUUCAGAUUAUUUAACGAAACCAAAAAUCUAGUUAAUUGAAUGGCAGGAUCACACAUGAUAUUCUCUAUUGUUUCUAGUUUCUACUUACAAUAAUUGGUUUUUUUAUUUCUAAUAAAUCUUUUAUCCUCCUUAGCAAUCAUCACCGAUAGGGACGGUCACCGGUCGGAUUCAGGAUAAAUUUUCCAAGGAUUCAAAACGAAACCCAAAACCCGAAUUCAAAUCCGAAUCCAACAAGCUUGGAAAAUUCAUAUCCAAAAAUCGAAUCCCACCAAAAACUUGAAACUCGAAUCCCAACCUGAAACAAUUUAAGGGAGACAUUUAAUGCAUGUCUUUUCAAUUUAAGGGAGACAAAUUUUAACCUUUUUGUCAUCAGAUAAUUCUUUUCAUUCAAAAAAUUGUUCUAUUUUGUCUAGUCAAUCCACAAAAUCGUCAGGUUGUAAUUUACCCUCGAACUCACUCACGUCCACUUCUAAUAGCCUGAUACCAUCGAUGUAUAUUUCCUUGAUUUUGAAAAAGAGGAUUUCUUCUAGCAGGUAAACUACGAUUGUCAAAAUCAGGAUCACUUUCUGAAUCUUCUCCAACUGUAGUUUGUUGUUGUAUAGUUAAUCUUUCCAAUAGUUGUUGAAUGUUAUUCAUUUGAUUUUGCAUGCCUUUCAUAUGCUUCUCUCCAAUCACGAGAAUUUUCACUAUUGCCUGUCAUUACCAAAUGCUUACAAGAUAAUCAAAAAAAGUGAUGCUCUUUUUUUUUUUUUUUCAAAUAUUUUGGCCCAAAGUUGAACACCAAGAAAAAAUUAUUUAGAUCAAAACAAACGCUCCCACGAAAAGAACUUGCUCUGAUAUCAAUUGAUGCAAAUCGAGAUAUUGCCAAAAUUGAAUUGUCAAGUUUGCUUUUGUUUAAAGGUAAAACUAGGUUCAAUUUAUCAAUUCCGAUGAACUUUAAGUAAGGAAGCAAAAAAUUCAGCAAGACAAAAAUUAAAAUCGAAUUGAAGUAAUACUAAAAUGAUGAUAAACCUUCAAUAUAUGAUAUAAUAACAACCAACUGAAAAUACAUAUAAUAAUUCUAAAAGGUAAAUUCGGCUUCAUUGGACUUACAGCUUUAGGUUUGAUUUUUUGGCAAAUAUAGUUGGUAAUGGUAGAAGGCUAGAUUAAAUGGGAUAAUAGGAUAUCAGGAGAUGUUGAAAGAUACAAAAAGUGCACCGUUCACACGAUUGCGGGGGAUCCAUGAUCAACGAGAAGGGCGGUACACCACGGGUAGAACUUCGGCAACGGAGAAGAACAAGAUGAGGGGUAGAAAUAGAAGCCGAUCUUGUCACCAGGAAGAAGCGACAACGAUCAAGUUGAGGAAGAAAACGAUCUCGGCGUGAGGAAGAAGCGUCGAUGAUCUCGUCGGAAAGUAGAACACCAAGGAUAAAGAGUGAGGGUAGAAUUUUCUAUUCAUCCAAAUAUCUCCCCCAGAAGGCUUUAAGAACCAUGUAUUUGUAUUGUUGAGAGCCCUCCUAUAAUAAAUUAUUAUCUUUUCAUUUUCAACAUUAAACAGUCACCUAAGAGUCAUGCAUAGAAAACGAAACAAUUUUGGAAACUUCAAAGGUCUUAUUUUGGAAAAUUUCAAAGGUCUUUUUUGAGAUUGUUUUCUUGUUUAUUGGAGAAAAGGUUUUGGGUUAGCCAGAUCAACUAAAACUAAAUGAUUUAAAUCCGAAUCAAACACGAACCUACAAAAUAAAAGAAAAUUGCAUUCAAAAAUAAAAUGAGAUUUAUUUGCUGCAUCAGUAGUGACAUACCUAUUCAUCUUAUUAUUAUAUUCUUGAGGCAUAGUAACUUGUUAGUUAUUUAUCAUUAUUGCUUCCUCUCUCUACUUAUGCCUAAUUAGACCUAAUGAAAAAGUCAACGGGAUCGGCGGCCGAACCCACUGGGAACUUUUUUUAGUUCUCACCCCACUGUUUUGCAAAUCCCAGUGCUAGCGGAGCAAUCGAGGAUCGCGGCAAGAGCAUAGCGUCCUAGGUAGUGGACCCCGUGCAUUAGAGUACCCAUAUAUAUAUAUAUAUAUAUAUAUAUAUAUAUAUAUAUAUAUAUAUAUAUAUAUAUAUAUGAGAGAUGUUUUGUAUUCUGGAAAAAACAUGUAGAGGUUUCAUAUGGAUAAUAAUCAUGUAUAUGUACUAUGAAUCAACUGGUUGUAUUUUGGUUAAUUGUAUGUAAAUGGUUGUAAUAGCUAAGUUUAUCUUCUCUCUUACUCUUAUAUAUUACACUCGCGCAAAUCAUGUAUGUUAAUUAUUUUUCCCUAGGCAAAACUCAAUUUACAUGAUGUUGUUCAGCCUUGGGCGGGCAGGGGAGUUUUAUCCUAACAAAGCGCAUGUGAAGGUAUUAUAGGAUAUGUAGGAGAUAGGAAGUUGCACAUAUACAAAAUGAAUCAUAUCGAUAAUACUGACAAAGAUAUUAUAGUAUUGAAGUUUAACGUGACUCAGCAGAAGAAUAAAAGCUCUAGCGAAGAUGUGCUCGGAAUAAUGUUAUCUAAUAGAUAGAAACACUUUAUUUAUAAGCUGAAAAUCGAUACAGGACUCACCAAGCAAUGUUGUCCCAAUGAAGAAAACCACCAUGACCUCUGGCAUUAGUGAACUUGUAGACGCUUUAUUUAUAAGCUGAAAAUCGAUACAGGACUCACCAAGCAAUGUUGUCCCAAUGAAGAAAACCACCAUGACCUCUGGCAUUAGUGAACUUGUAGACGGGACCAGAAACUAAUAAUAGAAGAAAAUUUAGUAAGAGCUAUACAAGGAAAUCUAGUUUGACACAAAAUCUACAACCCAUAGAGUACAGACCAGGUGAAAAAAGUUUAGAACAUAUAGAAUCUACUGUGAAAGAUAUUAUUAUCCAAACAUAAAGUGCAAAAGUUUAGCAUGAUCAUGGUUUAUAUUAGAUACCUUCAUAACCUCCAAUAACUGGAUCCUCAGAUAGAAGAAGAGGUGUAUCAAGGUCAAUAAAACUGCAUAGCAGUAAAAGAUUAAAAUAAGAUUCUAGGCACAAUUGAGCAUUAAGGAUAAACGAGGCAUCCUUUUCAAAUAGAUAUUUGCUCUUAUUCGUAUUAACUAGGGCAGAAAAUGGAGUGUGCAAAAAUGGAAUAGUCUGACCUAAAGCAACCAAGCCCAGCAGCAAGAUGACCAGCGAAGCCCAUUGCUAGCCUUGUCUCAACCAUACCCCCAAUCAUAAGUGCAGUCCCCGCUUUUCUUGCAACAUCAAUAAUCUCAAGAGCCCCAAGAACCCCUAACUUGGCCAGCUUGAUAUUGAUAACAUGAGCUAGAUUCCCUUGUAUGAUUUUCUCUGCAUCAAGUAAACUUCGACAGCUUUCAUCUGCAGCAACAGCUACGCUAUAUUUCUCUUUUGCCACAUAACUAACGUGACGAAGACCUUCCCAAUCAUCUCUAUGAACAGGUUGCUCAAAGAGAAUAGGAGUAACCCCCAUUUCUGGAUUAAAAAGGAAAGAAAAUAAAAUUUUGUUAAAAACAAGGUUGAAAGGCCAAAGCUAGCUAGUAGCAAGAAUUUAAGUGUCGUGGUACGGGGGUCUUGCCGGAAACUUGCCAGCACAGGGCCACGCCGAUGCGUGCAGGUCACAAAAAAAAACAUGUGUGCCGACAUAUAAUGGUAUAAAAUAUUUAUUUUCUUUAGCAACAAAAUAUGCUAACUAUUUAUUAUGUAUCUUUAUUAAAUAUUGUGAACUUAAUUGAGAAAAUUACCUACUGAUUUAAGAAUAGAGGGUUUUAAGCUGCGUUAUCGGCACGGGGCUGUAUCGUGCUGAUAUCUUGUUGACACGAUAAGACACGGUGGAUACAGCCCGUACCGAUGGGCACAUAAAUCCUUCAAUAUGCAUUUUUACGCAUGCAGAGAACUUCAUAAAAACAAUGUAAUAUUUUGCAUUGGCAAUUUUGGGUUACCAUGAUAGCAAGUGAAAACAGUUUGUUUAGAAACAAAGCAAAGAAAAGAAAGCUAUAGAAACCUCCGGCCGAGUUUACAUAGUUCACGUUUUUGCGUAGCACAUUUGAGUCAGAUACUUACCAUGGAGCUUAUCAAGAACUUCAAUUGCUUGAUAAGCUGUAUAUCCUUCAUUUGCGUCCAAUAUAAACAAGCAAUCAGGAUGAACAGACCGAAUCGCUCUCAAUACUUCAAUAUCUGAGUUCAAGUUUUUACCCACCUUGAGCUUUAAGGUGCUAAACCCUUGUUUACGGUACUUUGCAGCUAAUUCAGCAGCUUCACUGGGAGAUACGAUAGGAAUCUGAGUUGGAAUAAUAUAAAGUUUGAGGUUGUUUAGAGUAAAAUCAGGGUGUAUUAUUGCAACUCUAAUGAGAAAACAUGAAAGGAGAAAAACUAACUGUUAUAUCAGUUGUUAUAGAAUCCGACACUCCGCCAAACAAGCUCCACAAAGGAAUGCAAAUGCUAUUAGCAACCGCAUCGAUCAGUGCCAUCUCAACAGCUGCUCUGACCUUCAGUCAAAGAUACAAUUAU
rnacentral:lncRNA from 1 species